AGAGUUUGAUUAUGGCUCAGGAUGAACGCUGGCGGCGUGCUUAACACAUGCAAGUCGAACGAAGCUCCUUGAACUGAAGAUUCGUCUGAUGGGAUAGGAAGACUUAGUGGCGGACGGGUGAGUAACGCGUGGGUAACCUGCCGUAUACAGGGGGAUAACAGUUAGAAAUGACUGCUAAUACCGCAUAAGCGCACAGUAAGGCAUCUUACAGUGUGAAAAACUCCGGUGGUAUACGAUGGACCCGCGUCUGAUUAGCCAGUUGGCAGGGUAACGGCCUACCAAAGCGACGAUCAGUAGCCGGCCUGAGAGGGUGAACGGCCACAUUGGGACUGAGACACGGCCCAAACUCCUACGGGAGGCAGCAGUGGGGAAUAUUGCACAAUGGGGGAAACCCUGAUGCCAGCGACGCCGCGUGAGUGAAGAAGCAUUUCGGUGCGUAAAGCUCUAUCAGCAGGGAAGAAAAUGACGGUACCUGACUAAGAAGCCCCGGCUAACUACGUGCCAGCCGCCGC
rnacentral:rRNA from 1 species